rnacentral:rRNA from 1 species
UGAGGAAUAUUGGUCAAUGGGCGAGAGCCUGAACCAGCCAAGUAGCGUGCAGGAUGACGGCCCUAUGGGUUGUAAACUGCUUUUAUGCGGGGAUAAAGUGCGCGACGUGUCGUGCAUUGCAGGUACCGCAUGAAUAAGGACCGGCUAAUUCCGUGCCAGCAGCCGCGGUAAUACGGAAGGUCCGGGCGUUAUCCGGAUUUAUUGGGUUUAAAGGGAGCGUAGGCCGCCAGAUAAGCGUGUUGUGAAAUGUACCGGCUCAACCGGUGAAUUGCAGCGCGAACUGUUUGGCUUGAGUGCACGGUAAGCAGGCGGAAUUCAUGGUGUAGCGGUGAAAUGCUUAGAUAUCAUGAGGAACUCCGAUUGCGAAGGCAGCUUGCUGCAGUGCGACUGACGCUGAUGCUCGAAGGUGCGGGUAUCAAACAGG